rnacentral:rRNA from 1 species
AGUGAACGCUGGCGGUAGGCCUAACACAUGCAAGUCGAACGGCAGCACAGUAAGAGCUUGCUCUUACGGGUGGCGAGUGGCGGACGGGUGAGGAAUACAUAAGAAUCUACUUUUUCGUGGGGGAUAACGUAGGGACACUUACGCUAAUACCGCAUACGACCUACGGGUGAAAGCAGGGGAUCUUCGGACCUUGCGCGAUUGAAUGAGCCGAUGUCGGAUUAGCUAGUUGGCGGGGUAAAGGCCCACCAAGGCGACGAUCCGUAGCUGGUCUGAGAGGAUGAUCAGCCACACUGGAACUGAGACACGGUCCAGACUCCUACGGGAGGCAGCAGUGGGGAAUAUUGGACAAUGGGCGCAAGCCUGAUCCAGCCAUACCGCGUGAGUGAAGAAGGCCUUCGGGUUGUAAAGCCCUUUUAUUGGGAAAGAAAAGCAGCAUGUUAAUACCCCGCUGUUCUGACGGUACCCAAAGAGUAAGCACCGGCUAACUUCGUG